GGCUCGUUGGUCUAGGGGUAUGAUUCUCGCUUUGGGGUGCGGGAGGUCCGGGUUCAAAUCCGGGACGAGCCC
rnacentral:tRNA from 1 species